UUAAGAGUUAGUGGAAAUUAGUAUGUGAAGUAAAUAAUAAAAGAUAAAAAGUAAAAGAGAAGGAAGUGGUUCUUCUUUGAGGAAAUCUAUGGAAAUUUGCAGCUAACACACGAAGAAAAUGAGGAAGAUGAAUAUCUAAGAGUUCUGAAGCAAUUGAAGUAAGAUUUGUUGGUGAAAUUCAAGAAGGAAGUGAAGGAAGUCUGGAAUAGAGGUCAAUCUGAGCGUAUUCUGGGUUUUUUUGUGAGAUCUGGUUGUACAGGACGACUUAGAAGCUCCAAUUGGUCAGGUGGAAGUCAGUGAGUAAGAAAAAUCGCGAAACUGGAGAGAGCUCUGAUUUUGAAGCGGUUUGAGCUUUCUAGGAGGAGUUAGAUGCUGAAAUGUGUGAGGUGGAAGAGAAGGGGGUUGCAGGAAUCGUGAAGAAGGGUACCUUCUGGUUCGAGGCUAUUUCUGGACAAUCCAACGGUUUUUAGGUCUUCCUAUCUUCAGGGACUUGCUGCCAGCUUGUGUGCGUGCCUCACGGUCAAGAUCGCCCCUCAGCACGCCUAUUGCUUGCUUCAGCACCUUCCUAAGCCCACAGCACGCCCAUCCUUGCCCACACUUCUGUGUCAAUAGCCAUGGCACCUAAAUUUGAGUAUGUUAAAGACCUAUUUUGAAGUCUGGGUCAGACAAGGCUUUGUGACGUGUAUAAACCUGGGGAAACGAGCUCCGAAUUGUAGCGAAAGGUUUCCAGGAGCUUGACCUACCCUCGCAAAGUCUCUACUGUGGAUCCUCCCUUAGCUUGUUAGUAUUAAGUUUUGAGUUAGUUGGCAUGUAGUAGGCAUGGUGGAAAGUUGGGGUAGAGAGAACCUUUGUUGUGUAAACUUAGCAGAUGAUUGUAUAACGUUUACUUUCGUAUAUAUGAAAAUAUGUUGUGAAAA